UUUUAGCCCAGAUCGCAACGGUAUCCUUUAUUGUUGCUUCUUUUGCAACAAUAAAGAUAUAGUGAAGAGCUGGAAAAGCU
rnacentral:sRNA from 1 species